UACAGAGGGGGCAAGCGUUAUUCGGAAUUAUUGGGCGUAAAGGGCGCGUAGGCGGCUUUUCAAGUGACGGGUGAAAUACCUCGGCUCAACCGAGGAACUGCGUCCGAUACUGCUCGGCUUGAGGUCCGGAGGGGAGAGUGGAAUUCCCGGUGGAGCGGUGAAAUGCGUAGAGAUCGGGAAGAACGCCGGCGGCGAAAGCGACUCUCUGGUCGGAAUCUGACGCUGAGGUGCGAAAGCUAGGGGAGCAAACGGG
rnacentral:rRNA from 1 species